rnacentral:rRNA from 1 species
UUGGAGGGCAAGUCUGGUGCCAGCAGCCGCGGUAAUUCCAGCUCCAAUAGCGUAUAUUAAAGUUGUUGCAGUUAAAAAGCUCGUAGUUGAAUUUCGGGAUCAGAUUGUCGGUCGUGCCUCGGUACGCACUGGUAUUAUUGGUUCCUACCUUCUGAAGAACCGCGACGUCAUUAAUUUGGUGUCGUGGGGAAUCAGGACUGUUACUUUGAAAAAAUUAGAGUGUUUAAAGCAGGCUUACGCUUGAAUACAUUAGCAUGGAAUAAUGAAAUAGGACGUUUGAUUCUAUUUUGUUGGUUUCUAGGAUUGACGUAAUGAUUAAUAGGGAUAGUUGGGGGCAUUAGUAUUCAAUUGUCAGAGGUGAAAUUCUUGGAUUUAUUGAAGACUAACUACUGCGAAAGCAUUUGCCAAGGAUGUUUUCAUUAAUCAAGAACGAAAGUUAGGGGAUCGAAGACGAUCAGAUACCGUCGUAGUCUUAACCAUAAACUAUGCCGACUAGGGAUCGGAUGAUGUUAAUUUUUUAAUGACUCAUUCGGCGCCUUACGGGAAACCAAAGUGUUUGGGUUC